rnacentral:rRNA from 1 species
CGGUAUGGUAUUGGCUUACCGUGGCAGUGACGGUUAACGGGGGAUUAGGGUUCGAUUCCGGAGAGGGAGCCUGAGAAACGGCUACCACAUCUAAGGAAGGCAGCAGGCGCGCAAAUUACCCAAUUCUAACAGCAAAAGAGAGGUAGUGACAAGAAAUAACAAUACAAGGCACUUAAAAUGCUUUGUAAUUGGAAUGAUAAAAAUUUAAACACUUUUUAAAGUAUCAAUUGGAGGGCAAGUCUGGUGCCAGCAGCCGCGGUAAUUCCAGCUCCAAUAGCGUAUAUUAAAAUUGUUGCAGUUAAAAAGCUCGUAGUUGAAUUUAUGCUAAAAAUAACCGGUCCGCUUUUUUUAUAAAAGUGGUAUCUUGGUGUGUUUUUAGUAAUCAUGUCCUUUGAAAUGUUUUUUACUUAAAUGUAUAAAAACAAUAUUCAGGAGUUUUACUUUGAGAAAAUUAGAGUGUUUCAAGCAAGCUAACGUUUUGAAUACUGCAGCAUGGAAUAAUAAAAUAGGAUUUUAGUUCUACAUUUGUUGGUUUUAAGAGCUAAAUUAAUGGUUGAUAGAAACAGUUGGGGGCAUUUGUAUUUAACUGUCAGAGGUGAAA